AACGAACGCUGGCGGCAGGCUUAACACAUGCAAGUCGAGCGCCUCGCAAGGGGACAGGCAGACGGGAGAGUAACGCGUGGGAAUCUACACAUCUCAACGGACUAACGCAGGGAAACGUGUGCUAAUACCGAAUACGUCCCUAGGGAGCACGAUUGAUCGGAGAGGGAUGAGACCGCGGUGGAUUAGCUAGAUGGUGGCGUAAAGGCCGACCAGGGGGACGAGCCAUAGCUGGCCUGCGAGGAUGAACAGCCACACUGGGAUUGAGACACGGCCCGGACUCCUACGGGAGGCAGCAGUGGGGAAGAUAGGACAAUAGGCGCAAGCCUGAUCCAGCCAUGCGGCGUGAGUGAUGAAGGCCCUAGGGUUGUAAAACUCUUUCACCGGUGAAGAUAAUGACGGUAACCGGUGAAGAAGGGCCGGCUAACUUCGUGCCAGCAGCCGCGGUAAAAC
rnacentral:rRNA from 1 species